rnacentral:rRNA from 1 species
CCUACGGGGGGCUGCAGUGGGGAAUAUUGGACAAUGGGCGAAAGCCUGAUCCAGCAAUGCCGCGUGAGUGAUGAAGGCCUUAGGGUUGUAAAGCUCUUUUGCCCGGGAUGAUAAUGACAGUACCGGGAGAAUAAGCUCCGGCUAACUCCGUGCCAGCAGCCGCGGUAAUACGGAGGGAGCUAGCGUUGUUCGGAAUUACUGGGCGUAAAGCGCGCGUAGGCGGCUUUGUAAGUUAGAGGUGAAAGCCCGGGGCUCAACCCCGGAACUGCCUUUAAAACUGCAUCGCUUGAAUCCGGGAGAGGUGAGUGGAAUUCCGAGUGUAGAGGUGAAAUUCGUAGAUAUUCGGAAGAACACCAGUGGCGAAGGCGGCUCACUGGACCGGUAUUGACGCUGAUGUGCGAAAGCGUGGGGAGCAAACAGGAUUAGAUACCCCUGUAGUC